rnacentral:rRNA from 1 species
UGGGGAAUAUUGCACAAUGGGCGCAAGCCUGAUGCAGCCAUGCCGCGUGUGUGAAGAAGGCCUUCGGGUUGUAAAGCACUUUCAGCGAGGAGGAAGGUGGGUGAACUUAAUACGUUCAUCAAUUGACGUUACUCGCAGAAGAAGCACCGGCUAACUCCGUGCCAGCAGCCGCGGUAAUACGGAGGGUGCAAGCGUAAUCGGAAUUACUGGCGUAAAGCGCACGCAGCGGUUUGUUAAGUCAGAUGUGAAAUCCCCCGGGCUCAACCUGGGAACUGCAUUUGAAACUGGCAAGCUAGAGGUCUCGUAGAGGGGGGUAGAAUUCCAGGUGUAGCGGUGAAAUGCGUAGAGAUCUGGAGGAAUACCGGUGGCGAAGGCGGCCCCCAUGGACGAAGACUGACGCUCAGGUGCGAAAAGCGUGGGGAGCAAACAGGAUUAGAUA